rnacentral:rRNA from 1 species
GAUGAACGCUAGCUACAGGCUUAACACAUGCAAGUCGAGGGACCGGCGCACGGGUGAGUAACACGUAUCCAACCUGCCCUUUACUCGGGGAUAGCCUUUCGAAAGAAAGGUUAAUACCCGAUAUGAAGGAUGGGGAUGCGGUCCAUUAGGUUGUUGGUGAGGUAACGGCCCACCAAGCCUUCGAUGGAUAGAGGUUCUGAGAGGAAGGUCCACCACACGGGAACUGAGAAACGGUCCAAACUCCUACGGGAGGCAGCAGUGAGGAAUCUUGUUCAAUGGGCGCGAGCCUGAUCCAGCCAUGCCGCGUGAUUGAAGAAGGCUUCGGGUGGUAAAGGACUUUUGUCAGAGAAGCGGUACCUGAAGAAUAAGCACCGGCUAACUACGUGCCCGCAGCCGCGGUAAUAC